rnacentral:lncRNA from 1 species
AGCCGCGUCUGCAACCUACACCACAGCUCACGGCAACGCCGGAUCCUUCACCCACUGAGCAAGGCCAGGGAUCGAACCUGCAACCUCAUCGUUCCCAGUCGGAUUCGUUAACCACUGAGCCACGACGGAAACUCCCUUCCUGUGGUUUUAUUUUCUUUUUUUCUUUUUGGCUUUUUAGGGCCACACCCGCGGCAAUAUGGAGGUUCCCAGGCUAGUGGGCUAAUUGGAACUGUGGCCAUUGGCCACAGCCACACCAGAUCUGAGCUGCGUCUGUGAUCUACACCACAGCUCACGGCAGCGCUGGAUCCUUCACCCACUGAGCGGGGUCAGGGAUCGAACCCGCAACCUCAUGGUUCCUAGUCGGAGUCGUUUCUGCUGCGCCACCACGGGAGCUCCCGUGGUUAGUUUUCUAUGAUUGCUUUAACAAAUCACCACACACUCAAUGGCUUAAAACAGAGCACAUGGCAUGACAGGCAGGUGUUGUAGUUGAUUACGUAAAGAAAAGCCAAAAAGAUGUUAAGCCCAUAGGUGAGUUCCUAUGGGCUUAACAUCUUGGUCAAAAAGGAAAGCCGUCCCCAGAGGCCAACUCCGGGGACGUGCUUGUCUAAGUCCUCCCUCCUCUGAGACCGCCUCUCUGUGAUUCCGUCUUUGACUCAGCAGUGGACAAAGGGGGACUGAGGUCCUGCGAGGUGCUAGAGGCUGCGAGACCUCAUCCAUCUCUAACAUGCAUUUGUUUUCUUUUGUCUUUUGAGGGCUGCACCCGAGGCGCGUGGACGUUCCCAGGUGAAGGCUGCAAUCGGAGCUACAGCUGUCAGCCUACACCACAGCAACGUCAGAUCCUUAACCUGCUGAGAGGGGCUGGGGAUUGAACCGGCAUCCUCAUGGCUGCCAGUUGGCUUUGAAGCCUGCUGAGCUGCAGUGGGAAUGCCCUAACAUCUAUGAUUUAACAGAGAAACGAGCCGCGUUGGCAUGAAGCAGAAGGGAGCGCGUGCUGCUCGGAGACGAGAUUCACCUUCGAUUCAUUCGAGGCCCCGCACGGCCCCCUGGGCAUCUCUGCGUUCGCGCACAUGGAGAUGGGAAGGCGGGGAGUCAGCGUGAGGAAAAGAGAACAGAGACGCUGACACGCAGCUGAAAAAAAAGGCCACCUCUGCAACGUCAUCUGGGCAAGCACUGGGUCUGUGGCCACCCCUGUGCUUACAAAUCCUCGUGGGACAAACUCAGGCAGGAAGCUUGGUCAGGCAAAGCCUAGACCGGCCUCACACAAGCCCUCCCCCGGGCUCUGCAGGGGUCUCUGUCACUUCGUCCUUUCUGGCCUUGUGAUAAUUACUGAAAGCUCAGUUCCCAAGCAGUUCUGCUGCUCAUGACUCCCUACGCCGGUGCAGGGUUCCAGGAAGAGCUGAGCGAGGCUGAGAAACCCACGCUGCCAUUGCUUGAGGUCUUGCCUUGCUUUUAGCAAAACGUGGGGCAGCUUUCAGGGAAAACGGUUUGCACUUUGCGAAAUUUAUUCCCAAGAAUUUUUUUUUUGUUCCAUGCAGUAGAGCUGUUGUCUUAGUUUCACUCAGCGGUUGCUCAUGGCAAGUCUAGAGAAUUAUAAGUGAUUUCUGCAUAGCGAUCUUGCAUCCUGCCAGCUGGCGGAAUGGACUUAUUGCUUCUAAUACGAUCUGGUGGAUACCUUAGCAUUGUCUACAUUCAGGCUACUGUCGUCUAGGAACAGAAACUGUUUCACUUCCUCCUUUGUACUCACAUCAUCACCGUCCCCACUGCCCAGCAGGGCUCCCAUCAGAAUUUCUACAGCGGGAGUUCCCAUCAUGGCGCAGAGGAAAUGCAUCCGACUAGGAAUCCGUGAGGUCGCGGGUUCAAUCCCUGGUCUCUGCUCAGUGGAUGAAGGAUCCCACAUUGCUGUGGUGGUGGCGUAGGCCGGCAGCUGUAGCUCUGAUUGGAUCCCUGGCCUGGGAACCUCCCUAUGCUGUGGGUGCGGCCCUGAAAAAAGCAAAAAAAGCAAAAAAAAAAAAAAAAAAAAAGGAAUUUCUAUAGCAGCAGAAAGAUUUUUUUUUCCAGUGCUCUUGUUACAAGGCCAUUUCCAGGUCCUUGUAAUACUGUAGGAAUAAACACUGCUUCCACGAGGCUCUCAGGCAAGCAGGACUUUUUAUUAAAGGAGGCACACGGGAGAAGGUAGGGAUAAAAGGGCCAGCUCCUCAAGAGAAGGGGCAGGUUGCUUUUUAUAACAAAAGGGCUUGUCUCAGGAUUACCGAUAAUUUCCAGAAACCAUCCAGCGUCUCUUAUCAGCAGCAGGCGGCUCCAUGAUGACUGCUGGGAUGAGGGGACCGCUUCUGUUGUAGGGGGAGGAAUGCAUGAGAAUUUUUUUGCAGGAAAGCACAGGAAGAGAUAAGGACAAAUUCAGGGUGGAGCUUGUCUUGUGGCAACGAGGUAUUUUUGUGAGCUUAACAGAGAAAACGUGAAUCUUUCACUCCUGGGAGCCUGGUUUUUGUCUCUGGGACCCAGGCUUCUUUAGCCAGCAAGGCCUCUUGCCCAACGCCACUGUUCCCCCGUCCAUUUCCCAAAUGGCUGUGCUCUUGUCGUCCUGUGUCACUCUCAGCCCAGCAGCCCCAAACCCAGGAGCCGCAGAGGAUAAAAGGCUAACUUCCUGCUUGGAGACGCUGGGGUGGGAGACGUGCAGUGAGAAGAAAACCAGGCUGGGAGCCAUGUGCAGGUGCAGCCCCUCCGCUGUGUGACCUGUCGCUGGGGCAGGAGAGUCCUGGGAGGAGGAACGGGGUCUGCUCGGGGACUCCCGGCGCUGAUGCAGGGCCUGGCCUUGGGAGGUGCUUGGUAUGCUUUGCGGCAGUGGAGGGAGGACCCAGCCAGGAAAACAUCAGGGUUCAGAUGCCACAAAGGUGUGUUCUGUCUGUAAACCGUUUCAAAGGCACAGAAACGCUCCAAGAAUCAGAAUAAUACAAAGAGCAUUUGUUUACCGUUUCCUCCACACACAUUCUGUUUCCAACAUUUUGUCCCAUUCGCUUUAAUAUAGAUCACAAAAUAAUAUAAUUGCAUUUAUUUAUUUUUGCCUUUUUAGGGCCGCACCUGUAGCAUAUGGAAGUUUCCAGGUUAGGGGGUCCAAUCAGAGGUGUAGCCGCCAGCCUACACCACAGCCACAGCCAUGCAGGAUCUGAGUCCCAUUUGCGACCUACACCACAGCUCACGGCAACGCCGGAUCCUUAACCCACUGAGCAAGGCCGGGGAUCAAACCUGCUACCUCAUGGAUGCUAAUCAGAUUUGUUUCUGCUGAGCCAUGAUGGGAACCCCCUCACUGAGGUUUUGAAAACGCAGAUUAUAAUUUCAUCAAAUUUAGGAAGAGUUUGGCUUUUUUUUUUUUUUUUUUGGUCUUUUUAGGGCUGCACCCAUGGCAUAUCGAGGUUCCCAGGCUAGGGGUCUAAUGGGAGCUGUGGGUGCCAACCUAUGCCACAGCCACAGCAACGCCGGAUCCUUAACCCACUGAGUGAGACCGGGGAUCGAACCCACAACCUCAUGGUUCCCAGUCGGAUUCGUUUCUGCUAUGCCACAACAGGAACUCCUGUUUUUGAUUUUUUAAAAUAUGUUCCCCUCCUCCUCUGUCCCACCCCUCUCUGCCUCUUCUGGGUUCUCCUAAUGCAUAUAAGGAUGUGUUUGGUGGUGUCCCAUCCUUCAGGCUCUGUUCAUUUGUCCCUCCGAUGUUUUCUUUCUGCGCCUCAGAUGGGAUGGUUACACUUGCUCUAUUUUAAGCUGCCGAUUCUUUCCACUGCGUGCUCAGAUCUGGCUCUGAUCCCCCAGCAAACGUGGUACUCUUCGAUCCAGUAUUUCCUUUUCAUCAUUUAUGUCCUUUUUAGUAAUGUUCUCCAUUUGUUCCUACAUCAGUCUUGUAGAUUUCUUUAGCUUUUUAAGCAUAUUGAAAACAACUGCUUUCAAGUAUUUGUCUAGUAAGUUGACUCUCUGGGCUUUGUCAGGGGCAAUUUGUCUCCAUUGCUUUGUGUGUGUGGGGGAAUGAGACAUACUCCCCCCACCCCUUUGCUUUCCUUGUCAUUUUUUGCUGUUUGAACACUGGAUGUUCUGUUAUAAAGUGGUAACUCUGAAAAUCAGAUUCUUCCCUUUUCCCAGAGUUUGUUGUUAUUGAUUGCUGAGAACUGAACAUUUUCUGUUUUGUUUGCUUUUCAGUGACUUUUUCCAAACUAUUUUGUAAGAACUACUCCUUGCCACAUGUCGUGACUGAACUCUCUGUUCUAUUAUCUCAGUGGACAGAGACUUGCAUGAUGCCCGGAGCCAAAAAGAAGAAAAAAACAUAAGCCUUCUCUCCGUCUUCGCAGAUGGGAUCUGACCUCGGGUGCUCCCGUGACGUUUGGUCAGGCCGCCUAGAGCUCUGCUUCGUCUCCUGUGUGUGCAGGGCCCAGUGGUCAGCUAGACUUGCAAGCCAGGGUCCUGGGAGGUCUUUCUCGCGUGUAUGCCUCUGGCGCUGGGCAUGUUCUUCGCAGUCCGAAUAGGCUGGGAUAAGCUAUAGUCCUUCAGAG